rnacentral:lncRNA from 1 species
GGAAACCAUCUGGCAAGAACCGCUCAAGAGAAUGCUUCUUGGCUCUCACAUCUUAAAGGUCUUAAAAUAGCUAACAUUUAUUGAACAUUUUACUAUAUGCCAGUCAGUAAAUUGCAGAUGUAAGAUUCAAAACCAGACUUCACAUCUACCGACUUCAGUGACCCUGAAAUUUGUUCACAGAGAGCAUUUAACAUAACUGUCUUCAUCAUCUCCUUCUCUACAUUAAAAAUUAUGGAGGCCUUACAAACUGGUAGAAGAUGCAUAACAGAAGAGCUUAUGAAGUUAAAGAUGACAGCAUAGCAGCACUGUUCACAAAGACGUUAUUGGUGAUUCAAUCUUGAGUCAUGAAAAGUCAACCUUGAGCCACAAAAAGUCAACCUUGAGCCAAGCAGAUUGGAGAGUCAUACAUGCCAUUCCUGGGACCAUCAAAAAUGGCAGAGGUCACACAAAAAGGCAAAACUUUUAAGAGGUGUUUUAAACGUCGUAUGGGCCAAAGAGAAGCUGGAUUUCCUAUUGGAGUCACCUGUAACACACGUGUGACGAAAUUGGCCUGUGAGGACAAGGCAGUGAGCAGAGAGGACAGCAGUCCUUAUGAGAUCAAGCUCUAAGGUAUCCUAGACACAUUUGGAGAAUUCACCUGAGCUACAGGAUGUGGUAAGAUUUGGUGAGCAGGUGGUGAUUCUUACAGAAUCCCUCACACAUUCAUGCACAGAACUUCCCCAGCACACUCCCAGGUAGGACCACUUCCCUCUUCAUUGUGCAAAGAUUCACCACUGGUUCCAG